rnacentral:rRNA from 1 species
UACGAAGGGGGCUAGCGUUGUUCGGAAUUACUGGGCGUAAAGCGCGCGCAGGUGGUCUUUCAAGUCAGUGGUGAAAGCCCGGAGCUCAACUCCGGAAAUGCCAUUGAAACUGUGAGACUUGAGGACGAGAGAGGUGAGUGGAAUUCCCAGUGUAGAGGUGAAAUGCGUAGAUAUCGGGAGGAACACCUGAGGCGAAGGCGGGCUACUGGGCCGAUACUGACGCUGAUGCGCGAAAGCCAGGGGAGCGAACGGG